UGGAAGGUAGUUCAACUGGUUGAACAGAGGUGAAGGGAGUUCGUACACUACUCCCCUAUCCCCAGGUAGCAGGUUCGAGUCCUGUCCUUCCAG
rnacentral:tRNA from 1 species